GACAGAGCCUGCCGAGAUCCACUGGCCUUCAACCCCUCUCCCGCGCUAGCAAUCUGGGUGCUUCUUUCCUAGUGACCAUGACGGAAACCUGUGUGAUUGGUUUGGGGUCAGUGGAUCUGAAGAAAAGGGGCAAGAUCGCGCGUGCGCCUGUGUGUCUGAGGGGAGCGACCCCGGCUUCCCUGUGUGUUGGAUCGCCCUCUCUUCCAGGGGACCCAGGCGUCCUGCUUUCCAUCGCCAGCAGGAAGAGAUGCUUGCUGGAUUUGCUGCCUCAGAGACCAAAAUAACUUGGCCAGCCAUGGGCACAAUGUCUUGGGUCAGCUCUAUCAGAAGGGGGCUGUGCAUGGAAAAAAUAAUGAUCAAAUUGAGAGUAUCCCAAGAUAUCACCAUGAAAGUAAUUUCUAUGAAACUUGGUAUCUGUUCAUAGUUUAUGUAAAUCAAAAAGAACAUGGUAGAGAGCCUCCACCACAUUACGCUCGAAUUUGGAAAACCUAAAACUGUAUGUGGUCAAUGUAGGAGCCCAGGGCGUCACAAUUAUAUCCAUGUGUCUGGCUCUUUGCAGCAUACAAGACAGCACAGGAUCCACCAAGUAGACGCAUUUUUGUACACGUUAUUUGGCUGGACAACUGCGCUGCAAAAUUCAGAGAAAUGCACACUUUUGAAGGAUGGCUUCAAAAUGGUUUCAGCUCUUGUAUUGUUUCGGACAAAGAAGGGUGUGUGAGCGUGUGUCGAAAGUAGCCUACUGCACAAAGGGAAAAUAUCACAUUUGCUGUUCCAUCUCCUUUGCCUCUGGCCAUGCCCACCACUGGCAUGUGGCCCCUGGAAGGUUGCCCAGAAUGCAAGACUUGUGCUGUUCCACUCCAGAUGGCAAUAUACAGUAACACUACGGGAGCAUCACAGAACAACUAAUAAAGAAGGAUGAUGGACAAGGAUAAAUCCACCACUAAUGCACUAUUAUUGCACAAUACAUAUGAGGGGGACACUCUGGAGGGGCCCUCAGAAUUCUUUUUAAGAAGUCAUGACAGUUUCCAUUCCCUCUAUUUCUGAUGUUCAGGCUUAGAGCGCUGUCACUUAUGUAGCCAUGACAGCAUCACCCAAGCACAAGAGUGAGACAUCAGCAAGCUUGGGGCAAGGUUUACAGAAGUACAACAAAUAUUUUGGGGGGGAAACUUUAAGGGGGAGGCAAUACUGCCAAAACAGUCCAGUGAGGAGGACUGAGCAGUGACUCAAUGCUGAGGAGGGGGGAUGGUAGAAUGGAAUGGCUGGAAUCUUGAACAGCAGUUCUCCGCACUGUAACAUUUUAUUGCAGGUCCCACUUUGACUGCUAUAAAAUUAAUAGACGUUUAUACUGUCGACCCUUUUCAAGGCCCUGAACCUGAACAAAAAUCUAUUCUAGUCUUCCCAAAUAAAUUUUUACUGGGUACAACUUCAAUUAUCUCCAACAUUUCACAGAUGCUAAUACAGGAUACUUAUCCCAAUUUCAUAGCAAGUGUAGCUUUACAAGCCUCACUGCCUCCACUAUUACACAGUGUUGAAGGCUCUUGGCUGGCUGGCUGGUGUAUUCAUUUACUCUCCAAUGUGCCUGUCCUCCACCUCUACUGAUUUAAAAACCAAAAGAGGUUCCUCUAACCUACACUUCUGAUUAAAAUCUACUAGAAAAACAUUUAUCUACAGUCCUUGUGUUCAUAUGCCAUCAUGUUGCCUUUCUGUUCAUGCCUGUGCGCUUGCAUCUGUGUCUGCUAGAGAUGACAGGCACCCACCCACUCAGAGAUUUAGAAUGCAAUCCUAUACCUUCAUUACACUGGGUGACUGAGGAGUUAUAGGACAGGGUGGGAAAGCUUUCAGCCUGAAAGUCACAUUCCCUUCAAGGCAACCUUCCAGAGGGUCACAUGCCUGUUGAGGGCAGGGCUAGAAGAAAGUAGGUGGAACAACAAAUGCUAAUUUUACCUUUGUAUAGUAGGCUAGUUUCUACAUACACUUAAAAACCCCUCUCUAACCUCCAUCCAGCCAAGCAGGUAGCACAACCAGAGCUGAAGGACAAUUCCUAGCCCAGCAAUGUAGGGGGAUGGCCUGGGAAGAGUUCUGAGGUCCAGAUAAAGAGGUCGGGAGGCCUGUGGUUCCCCAUCCCUGCUAUAGGAUAUGGUGGAUGUUCUUCUGGCAUUGCACCAGAGAAGUGGAGCUGUUUCUCUCUCUCUCUGUCUGGAGUAUGGAAUUGCUCCGCCCACUUCUAGAAAUCCCGAAGAGGGAGCUACACCCUACAGCAGGACAAAUAAAGUUUUACUUGCAGGACUGCCUUACCCCAUAUGUGUCUACUCAAGCACUUCAAUCUGCGGAAGAGGAUUUGUUACAGGUGCCACAUAAUAUCCAUUCCACACUUGUAAGAAAUCAUUCUUUUAGCGUGACAGCACCAGCUCUUUGGAACUCCCUGCCUAUUGACAUCUGGCAGAUGCCUUUGCUGUAUUAUUUUUGGAGCCUGAUUAAAAAAAAAUUGUUUAGGCAAGC